rnacentral:tRNA from 1 species
GGGGGUGUAGCUCAGUGGUAGAGUGCUUGCCUUGCAUGUGUGAGGCCCUGGGUUCCAUCCUCAGCACCACAU